UACGAAGGGUGCAAGCGUUGUUCGGAUUUAUUGGGCGUAAAGCGCGCGCAGGCCGAUACGCAAGUCAGGUGUGAAAUCUCAGGGCUCAACCCUGAAAGUGCGCCUGAAACUACGUAUCUAGAAUCUCGGAGAGGGAAGGGGAAUUUCUCAUGUAGGGGUAAAAUCCGUAGAUAUGAGAAGGAACACCAGAGGCGAAGGCGCCUUCCUGGACGAGUAUUGACGCUGAGGCGCGAAAGCGUGGGGAGCAAACAGG
rnacentral:rRNA from 1 species